AUUGAACGCUGGCGGCAGGCCUAACACAUGCAAGUCGAGCGAGCGGCGGACGGGUGAGUAAUGUAUGGGGACUGCCCGAUAGAGGGGGAUAACUACUGGAAACGGUGGCUAAUACCGCAUACUAUCGGAUAACCCAUAUGGGAUUAGCUAGUAGGUGGGGUAAAGGCUCACCUAGGCGACGAUCUCUAGCUGGUCUGAGAGGAUGAUCCGCCACCCUGGGACUGUGAAACGGCCCAGACUCCUACGGAGGCAGCAGUGGGGAAUAUUUCCCAAUGGGGGCAAGCCUGAUGCAGGCAUUCCGCGUGUAUGGAGAAGGCCUUAGGGUUUUAAAGUACUUUCCGCGGGGGGGCGUUACCCGCAGAAGAAGCACCGGCUAACUCCGUGCCAGCCGCCGCGGUAAUUC
rnacentral:rRNA from 1 species